UACGAAGGGGGCUAGCGUUGUUCGGAAUUACUGGGCGUAAAGCGCGUGUAGGCGGGUCUUUAAGUCAGGGGUGAAAUGCCAAGGCUCAACCUCGGAACUGCCUUUGAUACUGGAUGUCUGGAGUUCGGGAGAGGUGAGUGGAAUUCCGAGUGUAGAGGUGAAAUUCGUAGAUAUUCGGAAGGAACACCAGAGCGAAGGCGGCUCACUGGCCCGAUACUGACGCUGAGGCGCGAAAGCGUGGGGAGCAAACAGG
rnacentral:rRNA from 1 species